rnacentral:rRNA from 1 species
UACGAAGGGGGCUAGCGUUGCUCGGAAUGACUGGGCGUAAAGGGCGCGUAGGCGGAUGUUUUAGUCAGGCGUGAAAGUCCUGGGCUCAACCUGGGGACUGCGCUUGAUACGGGGCAUCUGGAGUUGGAAAGAGGGUCGUGGAAUUCCCAGUGUAGAGGUGAAAUUCGUAGAUAUUGGGAAGAACACCGGUGGCGAAGGCGGCGACCUGGUUCUUGACUGACGCUGAGGCGCGAAAGCGUGGGGAGCAAACAGG